AUGUCCGUGUCAGGGGUCAAGGCCCAGUUGAAGUUCCUGGUGUCCAUCUUCGACGAGGACCACGAGCGAUUCCGCAUCGUCAGCUGGAAGCUGGACGAGCUGCCUUGCCAGUUCCUGGUGCCUCCGCCGGCGUUGCCAGGCAGCCCCAGCUUGCCGCCGCUCACACUCCACUGCAACAUCACGGAAUCCUAUACAUCUUCUUCACCCAUAUGGUGUGGACUCUGAUGACCCCAAUCUGACAUCAGUUCUGGAACGUCUAGAAGAUACAAAGAACAAAAAUUCGCUUCGUCAGCAGUUGAAGUGGUUGAUAUGUGAACUCUGCAGAUUAUGUAACCUUCCUAAGCACCUGGAUGUUGAGAGCCUAGAUCAGCCACUACCCACGGGUCAGAAUGGAACAACAGAAGAAGUGACUUCAGAAGACGAGGAAGAGGAAGAGAUGCCUGAAGAUAUAGAAGACUUAGAUCACUAUGAGAUGAAGGAAGAAGAGCCUAUUAGUGAGAAAAAGUCGGAGGAUGAAGGUAUUGAAAAAGAAAAUUUGGCAAUAUUAGAGAAAAUUAGGAAGACUCAAUGGCAAGACCAUUUAAAUGGUGCAGUGUCUGGGUCAGUACAAGCCUCAGAUAGACUUAUGAAAGAGCUCAGGGACAUAUACAGAUCACAGAGUUAUAAAACAGGGAUUUAUUCAGUGGAACUCAUAAAUGACAGUUUAUAUGACUGGCAUGUAAAACUACAGAAGGUUGACCCAGAUAGUCCUUUGCACAGUGAUCUUCAGAUCUUAAAAGAAAAAGAAGGCAUAGAAUAUAUUUUGCUUAACUUCUCUUUUAAGGAUAACUUUCCAUUUGAUCCUCCGUUUGUUGGAGUGGUGUUAACCUGUUCUCUCAGGAGGGUAUGUCUUGGGUGGAGGAGCAUUAUGUAUGGAACUUCUCACAAAACAGAGCUGGAGCAGUGCCUACUCAAUAGAGUCCAUCAUGCAAAUAAAUGCCACCUUAGUAAAAGGCAAAGCCAGAGUACAGUUUGGAGCCAAUAAGAAUCAAUAUAAUCUAGCAAGAGCUCAACAAUCCUAUAAUUCCAUUGUACAGAUACAUGAAAAAAAUGGCUGGUACACACCUCCAAAGGAAGAUGGCUAAAUAUGUUGACUGUCGUAUGUUUGGACCAAUGUUGCUUUAAAGAAAAUCUUUCGAACAUGC